AAUGAACUAGAUACAAGCGAGCGGCGGACGGGUGAGUAACACGUGGGUAACCUGCCCAAGAGACUGGGAUAACACCUGGAAACAGAUGCUAAUACCGGAUAACAACACUAAACGCAUGUCUAGAGUUUAAAAGAUGGUUCUGCUAUCACUCUUGGAUGGACCUGCGGUGCAUUAGCUAGUUGGUAAGGUAACGGCUUACCAAGGCAAUGAUGCAUAGCCAAGUUGAAAGACUGAUCGGCCACAUUGGGACUGAAACACGGCCCAAACUCCUACGGGAGGCAGCAGUAGGGAAUCUUCCACAAUGGACGCAAGUCUGAUGGGAAACGCC
rnacentral:rRNA from 1 species